CUGAUUCUAUAAGAAAUCAACAAACGAAUGGGUGUUAUGAAAUAUUUCCACGCUAUUGGACCCAGGUUUAAAAAAUAUCCAUUUCCACGAUCCGAUAUCAUGCGCUAAUGCCAAACAAAAAAUUAAGGAUCUUAUAAAUGUUAGUAUUGGCGAAACUAUAUCGAAUCCGAUUCAAAUUUAUCGGACGGUACUUUAGAAGAUUUCAGUCUUUGGAGUGCACAAAAUUUGGAAAUCCAAUAGAAGCGAGGAAAGCAUUUCCGAGAGCUAUCAGUCUACUUAAAAGCAUCAGAUGGUCGGUUAAAUGAAAAUCCUUUGAAAAUUUGAGCAGAUUUUAAACAACAAUUUCCAAAAUUGUUUUACAUAGCGUAUAAGCAUUUAACGAUUGCCGCGUCUUCAGUACCUUCUGAAUACUUUUUCCGAAGGCUGUUAAAUUGCUUAGACAAAAAAAGCUGGGAUUUAUAAAUAAACAUAAAGAGACGAAACUCAAAGCUAUUGGGAUAUGUUAAAAUACAAGAUGAAGAUGGUUUUAGCAAGCAAAGGCAGCUUAGGGGGGUUUUCAGUAGAAAUGGUUUCCGUUUAAAUAAUUUAAUAGCCAGUUGCAGUGAUGGUGAAAAGAUGUUUUAAAUGGGAUAGUACGACGUUUUGAGGUCGAAUUGGCUUACAUACAUAUAUAGUUGAUUUUAAAUCCAUAUUGCCAAAGAACAUGCAACCUUCUUGAUCGGAAGAUUGGAAUACAGACUUAUCCACUGAUGUUUAGUGUUUGCUUGAAAUGGCUACGGCAGUACCGGAUGGUUUUAUUACAAUUGA